rnacentral:rRNA from 1 species
AACAGGAUUUGAUACCCUGGUAGUCCACGCUGUAAACGAUGUCGACUUGGAGGUUGUGCCCUUGAGGCGUGGCUUCCGGAGCUAACGCGUUAAGUCGACCGCCUGGGGAGUACGGCCGCAAGGUUAAAACUCAAAUGAAUUGACGGGGGCCCGCACAAGCGGUGGAGCAUGUGGUUUAAUUCGAUGCAACGCGAAGAACCUUACCUACUCUUGACAUCCAGAGAAUUUAGCAGAGAUGCUUUAGUGCCUUCGGGAACUCUGAGACAGGUGCUGCAUGGCUGUCGUCAGCUCGUGUUGUGAAAUGUUGGGUUAAGUCCCGCAACGAGCGCAACCCUUAUCCUUUGUUGCCAGCGCGUAAUGGCGGGAACUCAAAGGAGACUGCCGGUGAUAAACCGGAGGAAGGUGGGGAUGACGUCAAGUCAUCAUGGCCCUUACGAGUAGGGCUACACACGUGCUACAAUGGCAUAUACAAAGAGAAGCGAACUCGCGAGAGCAAGCGGACCUCAUAAAGUAUGUCGUAGUCCGGAUUGGAGUCUGCAACUCGACUCCAUGAAGUCGGAAUCGCUAGUAAUCGUAGAUCAGAAUGCUACGGUGAAUACGUUCCCGGGCCUUGUACACACCGCCCGUCACACCAUGGGAGUGGGUUGCAAAAGAAGUAGGUAGCUUAACCUUCGGGAGGGCGCUUACCACUUUGUGAUUCAUGACUGGGGUGAAGUCGUAACAAGGUAACC